GACGAACGCUGGCGGCGCGCCUAACACAUGCAAGUCGAACGGAGCUAAGAGAAGCUUGCUUUUCUUAGCUUAGUGGCGAACGGGUGAGUAACGCGUGAGUAACCUGCCCUGGAGUGGGGGACAACAGUUGGAAACGACUGCUAAUACCGCAUAAGCCCACGAUCCGGCAUCGGAUUGAGGGAAAAGGAUUUAUUCGCUUCAGGAUGGACUCGCGUCCAAUUAGCUAGUUGGUGAGGUAACGGCCCACCAAGGCGACGAUUGGUAGCCGGACUGUGAGGUUGAACGGCCACAUUGGGACUGGGACACGGCCCAGACUCCUACGGGAAGCAGCAGUGGGUGAUAUUGCACAAUGGGGGAAACCCUGAUGCAGCGCCGCCGCGUGGAGGAAGAAGGUUUUCGGAUUGUAAACUCCUGUCGUUAGGGACGAUAAUGACGGUACCUAACAAGAAAGCACCGGCUAACUACGUG
rnacentral:rRNA from 1 species